rnacentral:rRNA from 1 species
CGAAUACAUAGUCUGCCAAGUGCCAACUCAGGGAAGUGAAACAUCUCAGUACCUGAAGGAAAGGAAAUCAAACGAGACUCCCUCAGUAGCGGCGAGCGAAGGGGGAAUAGCCCAAACCGUGUGGAUCCGUCUAUGCGGGGUUGUAGGGCCGGCAUACGUGAUUCUGGAGUAGGCAGGGGAAGGAAGCUGGAAAGCUUCGCCAGAGCGGGUGAUAGCCCCGUACCCGAAACUGAAAAGGACACAGCCGGUACCUGAGUACUGCGAGGCACGUGAAACCUCGUGGGAAUCUGGGAGGACCAUCUUCCAAGGCUAAGUACUAACCGACGACCGAUAGUGCACCAGUACCGUGAGGGAAAGGUGAAAAGAACCCCUGUCAGGGGAGUGAAAUAGAAUCUGAAACCUGAUGCUUACAAGCUGUGGGAGCACCCUUGUGGUGUGACCGCGUGCCUUUUGCAUAAUGAGUCAGCGAGUUAAUCUGUACUGCAAGGUUAAGCGUAAGUGGAGCCGUAGCGAAAGCGAGUCUGAUAAGGGCGUUUAGUAGUGCGGAUUAGACCCGAAACCGGGUGAUCUAUCCAUGAGCAGGUUGAAGCAAGGGUAAAACCUUGUGGAGGACCGAACCAUUAACGGCUGAAAACGUUUUGGAUGACUUGUGGAUAGGGGUGAAAGGCCAAUCAAACCCGGUGAUAGCUGGUUCUCCCCGAAAUAUAUUGAGGUAUAGCCUCAUGGAUUGUCUACCGGAGGUAAAGCACUGACAGAGCUAGGGGUCCUACCAGAUUACCAAACUCUUUCAAACUCAGAAUGCCGGUCAGAUGUACCAUGGGAGUCAGACAGUGGGUGCUAAGGUCCAUUGUCGAGAGGGUAAGAGCCCAGAUCAACAGCUAAGGUCUCCAAAUCUAUGCUCAGUGGUUAAGGUGGUGACGUUGUAGAGACACCCAGGACGUUGGCUUAGAAGCAGCCAUCAUUUAAAGAAAGCGUAAUAGCUCACUGGUCUAAUGACGUUGCGCCGAAAAUGUAACGGGGCUAAGCAUAGUACCGAAGCUUUGAAUUCCACGUAUGUGGUCUGGUAGGGGAGCGUUCUUCAUGGGCUGAAGGUGUGUUGUAAAGCAUGCUGGACUGUGGAGAAGUGAUUAUGCUGACAUGAGUAACGAUAAAACGGGUGAAAAACCCGUUCGCCGUAAACCCAAGGUUUCCUGGGUAAAGGUAAUCUUCCCAGGGUUAGUCGGUCCCUAAGGUGAGGCUGAAAGGCGUAGCUGAUGGGAAACGAGUUAAUAUUCUCGUACUUGUACAUCUGUGCGAUGGAGGGACGCAGAAAGGUAGACAGGCCGGGUGUUGGUUGUCCCGGUGCAAGCAGGUAGACGUGUGGUACAGGCAAAUCCGUACUGCUCUACGUCGAGACGCGAGUCCGUGACCGUAAGGUCUGAAGCUGUUGAGCCUAUACUGCCUAGAAAAUCUUCUAAGUUUAGGAUGUGCAAACCGUACCGCAAACCAACUCAGGUGGGUGGGAUGAACAAUCCAAGGCGCUCGAGAGAACUCUGGCCAAGGAACUCGGCAAAAUAACCCCGUAACUUCGGAAGAAGGGGUGCUCCUCCGGGUGAAGUUAAUUCACUUAACGAGCCUGAGGGAGCCGCAGAGAAAUGGUGGUGGCGACUGUUUACUAAAAACAUAGGUCUGUGCGAAGUCCUAAAGACGACGUAUACGGACUGACGCCUGCCCGGUGCCGGAAGGUUAAAAGGAGAGGUCAGCGCAAGCGAAGCUUCGAAUUGAAGCCCCGGUAAACGGCGGCCGUAACUAUAACGGUCCUAAGGUAGCGAAAUUCCUUGUCGGGUAAGUUCCGACCUGCACGAAUGGCGUAACGAUCUCCACACUGUCUCGGCCAGAGACUCGGUGAAAUUGAAGUCGCGGUGAAAAUGCCGUGUACCCGCAGAAAGACGGAAAGACCCUGUGCACCUUUACUAUAGCUUGACAUUGGGAUUUGGAACUGCAUGUGUAGGAUAGGUGGGAGACUGUGAACUCUGUACGCUAGUAUGGGGGGAGUCAUUGUUGAAAUACCACCCUUGUUUUUUCAGGUCC